rfam:Heligmosomoides polygyrus genome assembly, scaffold: HPBE_scaffold0003511
GCGCCGGUGGUGUAAGGCGAACAUCGCUGGCCGGAAAGCAGAAGAUGCGGGUUCGAGUCCCGCCUGGUGCA